GGACCCGAAAGAUGGUGAACUAUGCCUGGGCAGGGCGAAGCCAGAGGACACUCUGGUGGAGGCCCGCAGCGGUCCUGACGUGCAAAUCGGUUGUCCGACCUGAGUAUAGGGGCGAAAGACUAAUCGAACCAUCUAGUUGCUGGUUCCAUCAGAAGUUUCUCUCAGGAUAGCUGCCGCUCCCCGCUGGCUAAUUAUCUGGUAAGCUAAUGCG